rnacentral:piRNA from 1 species
UAAUGCAGAGUACUCCUGGGCCAAUCAU